GGCUCCAAGGGUGACAGAGGCUUACCUGGCCCCAAGGGUGAGAAGGGAGAGCCAGGAGGAUUUGGAGAGCCAGGGGAUCCUGGGGAAGAUGGAGCAAAGGGGUCCUCUGGAGCCAAAGGAGAGAAAGGAUCACCAGGUGUCGGUGUGCGGGGACCUCCAGGACAAGAUGGGCCUCCAGGGCUGAAGG